CCUACGGGAGGCAGCAGUGGGGGAUAUUGCACAAUGGGGGAAACCCUGAUGCAGCGACGCCGCGUGUAGGAAGACGGUCCUCUGGAUUGUAAACUACUGUCCCCAGGGACGACGAUGACGGUACCUGGGGAGGAAGCUCCGGCUAACUACGUGCCAGCCGCCGCGGUAAUACGAAGGGAGGGAGCGUUGUACGGAAUUACUGGGUGGAAAGGGGGCGUAGGCGGGGAUGCAAGUUGGGUUGUAAAUCUACCGGCUCAACUGGUAGUCGCACCCAAAACUGCAGCUCUUGAGUGAAGUAGAGGCAGGCGGAAUUCCUAGUGUAGCGGUGAAAUGCGUAGAUAUUAGGAGGAACACCAGUGGCGAAGGCGGCCUGCUGGGCUUUUACUGACGCUGAGGCUCGAAAGUGUGGGGAGCAAACAGGAUUAGAUACCCUUGUAGUC
rnacentral:rRNA from 1 species